rnacentral:misc_RNA from 1 species
GGAGACUCAGUUGGGGGUUUCCACAUACCAAGUGCAGACAAAUCUGGUGUAGGUGAAGGUAAAACAGACGGCCGUGCCCGCUUGUUCCUUUGCACAGGUUGGGAGUUCGAAGGAGUAGUUGCAACAAGAGGCUCCAAUUCCCACGGUGAUACUCUAUCUGGACGCAAGAUUGAAGAAGGCUCAUCCCAUUGGACCUAGCAGAGAACAUGAUACAAGCCACAAAUGAAGAGAUGAUAACAUGACUUCUAAGUUUUAACGCGAAAACAGAAAGACACCAUGUUUGAUCAAACAAAAUUCCAGAAACCAUUAACACAAUAAAUUUAGAAAUCAAAACAAGAAAUUAUUUGAAAAGUUGUCAACCUUUAAGGAUCUCCAUUCAGAAUCAGCCCACCCUGAUGACAUAUUAUCUCCAACACCAACAAUAGUGCCACUAAACCUUCGUUCAGGUACUUCCUCACCCUCAAAUCUCAUCUUAAACCUCAUCCCAACA